CUACUCCCUCUGGUUCUAUCAAAGCGGUGUUUUGGACAUCUGCAUGGUCUCCAAAUGCAACAAUUUUCACCACUAAUUUAUGUUGUAGUAUAUUUACGAAACCCAACAAAUAUUAUAACUCACUUUUAAGAAAAAAUACACUAUGUUUUACCAUCUAUUAUAAACAGUUUAAAAGAUGUUAGCACUCAAUCUGUGUCCAAAAUGACAACUUUUCCUGAACCGGAUUUUUAUAUUAAUCAAAUCCAUCUCCUUAAAGUAAAUCGUUAUAUACUUAAAUGUUUUCCAUUGUUUCAAAUACUUCGUAUCAUUUGGUCAACAGUCUCUGUAGGGAUGGUAGUAGUUAGUGAACCAUUUUUAAGAGCAGCUCUAGUAGAAUCGGCAUAUCCACAGCCUCCAAAACCGGUUUGGAAUGCCCUCCAUAAUUUUUUGGAGGCUGUGCGCAUGCACAGAGUCGCCAAAAACGCGCCAUAUUUUUUUUCUUGAAUUUUUUUGGGCAAGAUCAACCUCAAGCAAUUAUAAACUUGCAAAGUAAAUGUUGCUAAAUAGAUUUCAUUCAUAUAUAGGGGCAGAAAAUGAGUCACACUGCAGCUUAAUACAUAUAGAAAAUUAACUAAAGUAAAGUGUGGCGGGUGGCGGGAGGACUUGCCGGUGGUGGGCGUGCCUGCGUGGAAUGAGGUAUUGGCGGCCUCAAUGGGCGGAAACGGGCUAAGGCCUCGUCCCACUCCAGCCAUGUGCCAUUGUCGGCUUUGGGGGCAGCCCCCUAAAUGCAGUGCUCCCUCUUGGCAUCCAUCUUGCCGCCAUGGCGAUCUUGAAAUACACCCACCCGCUUUCUCGUCGUACACGACAUCCUCCUCCUGCUUGAUGGGUGGGGGUGGGGGGUGGGGGGCGCUUGCUCGAGCAGUGCCUCGUCCUCAUCCUGCUUGAUGCCGGCGGCCGUGGGGUCUGGCCUUGUGAGAUCUCCCAUAAGGGAGAUGUGGAGGGGGAGUGGAGAAGGGGAGGGGGAGGCGCCAGCCUCUUAUAGCGUCGGGCGGCAGGAAAGGAUGCAGGCGGGAGGAAAUGGUGGCAGGAACGGGCGUGGCCAGCCAUUAAUGGGCAGUUGGGCAGACGGCGGGCAGCCAUUAAGGGACCGGGAAACGCGGCUGCGACAUUGGUAUUGGCGCAGAAGAGAGGGGAAGAGAGAGGAAGGGAAAUAUGGAGUGUCCUCCAAAAAUUUGUCGAUUGAGGAUUGUAUGGCGAAUCUGCUAGACUGGUAUUUUAGCAGUUAUUUGCCUAUCGGGCUUUAUUGGCGACUCUGCUAGAGUUGCUCUAACAGAUACAACCUUAGGCACUAUGUCUUUUUUUUAAAGGAACACAAAGCAUUCCAUUAUAUAGAAGGGCUUUACAAAUUGCCAGCAACAGCGUCUUUUACAAAGUCUGGAAGCUGGUGAAGCCAGAUCUCACACAAGCUAGCUCGCAGUUUAGUGCCACAUGCAGCUAACAGAUGCGCAACUCCAUUACAAGUUUGAGGACAAGACGCCACACAUACAUCAUUGAAACCCACAGGCAUCUAUACUCUAAUAUUUUUUUAAAUCGCUCCUAAAACUGAUAGAUCAAAGCCUUCAGUGGUUGCUGCAUUCUUCAGUUGCACAGAAUCUGUUUCUAUCAUCACUCGGUCGCAGCCUAGCUGAGUGACUGUGUUUAUGACAUAAAGCAUUGCCAAAGCCUCUGAAUGAAGCGCAUCCGAGAAUCUCUCCAGAAUCCAGAUUACCCGCACCAGCAGCCAGUGCCACACCACAAGCAUCUAUACUAACAAAGCCCCAACCUCAAGUAUUUGUCUCCUUCAGGAAGGCGCCAUCUGCGUUGAUUUUCAGAGUUCCCAGUGGAGGUCUGGACCAUCUUUCUUUUUGCUGCUGCUUCUGCACUUUCCCACUUUGUUGUACCUUAAAGAGAUGCAUACAAAGAUAAUCAAUAGAAUGACAUAUUUCAUCAGAAAAUUUAAUAGCAUCUCCUGCAUUUGCCCUAUUUCUUUCAUGCCACCAUUGCCAAAGGAGCAGGCAAGAUUUAAGUUUUCCCUCCUCAUUGAGGUUCAAGAUUUGCUCCAUGCAGCUCAGUGCAUCUGCAGAAGGAAGAAUCUGCAGUCUAACAUGCUCCAGCUGAGGACAACGGGUUUCUACAUGCAUGCCUUUGUGCUGAAGCUUCAUGCACAGGGGUAAGCUAUCCGUACACAGACGCCAUAUGAAAUGAAGAACUUUGUUUCUAAGGGGAAGUGACCACAGCUUCGGCCAGUCGAAACCACAUGUUUCUUCAUCUGCACUUGAGGAAGAAGUUAGCCCUGCAGUGGGUUCACAAGCUGCAGUAGCCAUCGCAACUCUGUAUGCAGAUUUUACAGAAAAUAUACCUUUUUUAUUUUAUCAAAAGGCCAUGCUAUGAUAUCAUCAUUAUGUUCAUGAAUUGUGAUUUGCAAAAUAAUCUUUGCAUCUUCAGGGAGGAAGGUUUGCCUU